rnacentral:rRNA from 1 species
UAACGCGUAGGUAACCUGCCUGGUAGUGGGGGAUAACUAUUGGAAACGAUAGCUAAUACCGCAUAAUAGCAGUUGUUACAUGACAACUGUUUGAAAGGUGCAAUUGCACCACUACCAGAUGGACCUGCGUUGUAUUAGCUAGUUGGUGGGGUAACGGCUCACCAAGGCGACGAUACAUAGCCGACCUGAGAGGGUGAUCGGCCACACUGGGACUGAGACACGGCCCAG